AACGAACGCUGGCGGCAUGCCUAACACAUGCAAGUCGAACGAGAUCUUCGGGUCUAGUGGCGCACGGGUGCGUAACGCGUGGGAAUAUGCCCUUUGGUUCGGAAUAACAGUUGGAAACGACUGCUAAUACCGGAUGAUGACGAAAGUCCAAAGAUUUAUCGCCAGAGGAUGAGCCGGCGUAGGAUUAGCUAGUUGGUGUGGUAAAGGCGCACAAAGGCGACGAUCGUUAGCUGGUCUGAGAGGAUGAUCAGCCACACUGGGACUGAGACACGGCCCAUACUCCUACGGGAGGCAGCAGUGGGGAAUAUUGGACAAUGGGCGAAAGCCUGAUCCAGCAAUGCCGCGUGAGUGAUGAAGGCCUUAGGGUUGUAAAGCUCUUUUACCCGGGAUGAUAAUGACAGUACCGGGAGAAUAAGCUCCGGCUAACUCCGUGCCAGCCGCCGCCGUAA
rnacentral:rRNA from 1 species